rnacentral:rRNA from 1 species
ACAGCAGUCGCCGCGGUAACACGGAGGGGGCUAGCGUUGUUCGGAAUUACUGGGCGUAAAGCGCACGUAGGCGGCUUGGUAAGUUAGAGGUGAAAGCCCGGAGCUCAACUCCGGAAUUGCCUUUAAGACUGCCGAGCUAGCAGGUGAGAGAGGUAAGUGGAAUUCCGAGUGUAGAGGUGAAAUUCGUAGAUAUUCGGAAGAACACCAGUGGCGAAGGCGGCUUACUGGCUCAUACUGGACGCUGAGGUGCGAAAGCGUGGGGAGCAAACAGGAUUAGAUACCCCUGUAGUCCCUGUCUCUUAUAU